UCGAGAAUUUUUCACAAUGGGCGAAAGCCUGAUGGAGCGACGCCGCGUGGGGGAUGAAUGGCUUCGGCCCGUAAACCCCUGUCAUUUGCGAUCAACCGUUAUUAUUUAAAAGAUGAUAACCUGAUAGUAGCGAAAGAGGAAGGGACGGCUAACUCUGUGCCAGCAGCCGCGGUAAUACAGAGGUCCCAAGCGUUGUUCGGAUUCACUGGGCGUAAAGGGUGCGUAGGUGGCGGAGUAAGUCGGAUGUGAAAUCUCCGAGCUCAACUCGGAAACUGCAUUGGAAACUACUCUGCUCGAGGGUUGGAGGGGGGACUGGAAUACUUGGUGUAGCAGUGAAAUGCGUAGAUAUCAAGUGGAACACCAGUGGCGAAGGCGAGUCCCUGGACAACUCCUGACACUGAGGCACGAAAGCUAGGGGAGCAAACA
rnacentral:rRNA from 1 species